rnacentral:lncRNA from 1 species
UAUCAAAGCUGGGUGCUUUCUCCCUCCUUUUGCGGGCACAAGUGCUGUAAAGCAGGCCUGCGCCUCCAGUACAGCAUUGCUUCUGAUGCAUCUUCCAAACAGCGUUUGCCUUUCUGGGAGCAACAUCGCCUGCCUGACUCAUGUUCAGCUUAUGACCUCCUAUAGCCCCUAGAUUCCCUGCCUGUCAUCAUAAUUAAUUGCGCAAAGACCUCUUUCACUGAGAUAAAGUUAGAUGAGCAAAAUAUCAUUUCUGAGAUGCAGCUGAACAGCCUGCAACGUUUGCCCAGGAAUGGCGCACCGUGCAGCUGAGCAUGGAAGAAAUCCAUGUCUCUUGCAAUUAUAUCAUCUCACAGCUAUACAUGGUGUUUUGUGUAAAUUCAAACAAAUUACUGGCACACACAGAGCAUAAUUGUCAACCUCCUUCAGUGCAUGGACUUCUGUAGAAGGAGACCCUUGGAUAAAGCGGUUAAAGUUUCACAGGGUGAUAAUGUGUGGGUUGUAAGGGACUUUGUGAAACCUCCUGGAAUAGGGAGUGGAAGAAUUUCAUGACGCAUUCUGGUACGUUUGUUCAUUUAGUGGUUGGUAAAUGCAGUUUGUUAUAAAUGAAACGAAAAGCCUAGGAAAUAGGAUGAAAAGGAUGAACAUAUAAAGAGCAGGUGAAUGCUACCUCAGAGGUUCUGUAAUCAUGAAUUAUGUUUUGGCCUGCGGUAGAUGUUGAAUAGCAAGGAGGUAGAGGACUCUUUAACACUUAACCGCUAGGGGUAUUUAUGAGGUUGCCCAUGCAGGUCAACUCUGGGAGAGUGUCAGGGGCAGCUAGCCAGAUCAGAAGGAGGAUCAGUCUGAAUGCCAGGCUCUCUCUGCUCUUUUUGGACUACUACUUUUCCCAAAUGGAAAAAUGUGAAUUUAAGAGAUGUUGAUUUUGCUCCACUGAUUUUUGGCAUUAGGAGCAGGUAUGAGCCACAUAGUUUGUGCCUCUGCAAGCACGUUCAGAAAUUUAAGAUGGGUAUCAGGCUCUCACUAGGUGGCCUCUGAUGCUGGGUUAUUCUUUUUAUGGGAAGUUCCUACCCCUGCGCAUAGACUGUGAGUCUGAUGAUCCUGAAAAUUAAAAUUCAGCUAAAUGCUGCAGCAGAUUAGUUGGCGAAGAAGCCCAAGGAAAUGGGAAUUGGGGCUUCCUGGGGUGGAGUAACCACACUUACAACUCUAGUCCCAGAGAAAACUGCUGCUUCUGCUCCUGCAUAUAUCCAGCAGUGCAUAUUGCUUUCAUCUUAAGUACCUUUGCAUUAGCUACGCGCUCCACGUUCAAAAAAUACUGCAAGGUGACAUUUCCUACCUUGCAAUAAAUGUUGUUGUCAUUGUGUUAGUCCAAAGGAUGGGGGAGAAAUUUGAGUCAGUUUGCAUUUAAAGGAGAACUUACCUAAUUCACACUUUUGUGAAAUGGGCAGACUGAAACACAGCUAUCCUUUGAAAUCUGCCCAUCUCUGAAUUUUGCAGUUCAGUUCCCCAGCCGUGUAGCUUGUUCUAUAAUGUAUAUACUAGAUGUGAAUAUAAAUGCAUAUUUUAGUAAAAAUAACACAUUAUAUCAAGGAAAAAUGCUUUGCAAAAAAAAAUGUACACAAGGAAACAUUGCAUACCAAAAGUGUAUAUUGAGAGAAAGUUGCACUACAAUUCUGAUGAAUAUUCAUGAAAACUUGUUUUUUAAAAAACAUGCUGAUGUGUAAAUGUGGAGAAUCGAAUUUAAGAUUGCAAAAAUGACAAGAUAGAAACCAAAAUCAAUACCUUUGCCAAUCCCCUGCUAGCCCUUUUCUUUAAAAAGGUCGCAACCCAAUGCAAUACUCUUGGCAAGUCUACAUUAACUUGGUGUGCCACUAUGGCUGGGGCUGUUGCAGUCCAAAACAUCUGGAGGUCACCAGGUUGGAGAAGGCUGCUGUGCUAAGGGCCUUAGGAUUCUGAUGAACUGGGCAUUGACCAUUAAUCUCCCACUGGGGCAGCCUAAGGCUGUGGAGCAGGGUCCUCUUUCUGCUGCUCUCCCUCAUUCCUGAUGCACAGCCGAUCUGCUAUCUUAGGCAAAGCCCCCCCUCCACCUCAAUGAAUAGAACAAGUCUCCAGAGUGACUGUAGGCUCUGUAAGGUAGGGCCCAUCACCUGCUAUCAAGGACUGGCAGAAUGCUGAAGAGUGUGCAUCAGGGAAAGUGGGGCUAGAGUCUUGAAAGAGGGGAUCAGCGAUUUGUGGUGAACUGUUCUGGACAAGAGGCAAGAGCUGGAGAAAGGGGAAGCUUCAGAGCUGGAGCAUAGGAUGGGUCGGAAGAAGAGGAAAAGUCAGGUUAGGCAGGUGAAGGGCCAGCUGCUUCCCCACCUUCUCCUGCACCACUGUCUCCCAGAACCAGGAGGGGAUUGAAAAGGGAUGAUCAGAGGAAGUUGCCACACAGACACAGCCUCUGGCUGCGUGUGUGCAGCUCGUCAGGGCAAGGUACAUAAACUGGUGGAGGGGACUGGUUCCCUGCUGCUGCAACUGCUGCAUAGAGGGUGGAGCUGGGAAUAGCUGCCUAGACACUAGACUGGUGGGCAUAGGUAUCCAGAGCUGUAGAAGUGGCUAUAAGGACUCAGCUAUACAGCUGCAAAUAAAACGUUUUAAGUGUGUUUUAAGUGCAAUAUACAAUGUGACACUAGAUGGCAAUGGUGAGCCUUAUGGAAAAUUCAAUGGUUUUUUUUUAAUUAAAAAAAACCAUUUUCAGAACGUUUUUUAAUAUGUGUGUAGAUUCCACCUAAGUGUUACCGUUGACAACAAAUACUUCACUCUCCUCCGUGUGCAUUUAUUUGGCUGGAAAGCAACCUUGACACCUUCUUAGCUUCAGCAAAGUAUCUGUGUCAUGUUCCACCCUCAAGUAGUGGAAGGUGACCCACUAAGCCAAAUGAGGCACUGCCCCACCAAGCUCAGCCAGCCCUCACCUGCCUUGUCUUCUUACCUGUAACCAGUCCAAAAGGCAGCAGCAACUGCCAGCUUCCUCCUCCCUAGUUUCAGUGUUGCACCUGGUAGAACUCAGCAAGGAGGAAGAUGGGGGCAAGAAUUAGCCUGCACUGCCUGCCAUUGGCUCUGGCGCCACCUACUGUUGGGCUCCCUGCAUUCUGCCCCACCAGACCCAAUGGGCACCAGCCACCAUGGCCAUCAGACCAUUUCCUGGGUCAUCUCUCCAUUUUGAAGCAGCAGUUCCUGGUUCCUGCAGCUCAGGCCGCUCUUCCUGGGCCACCCCACUGCCAUGCAGAUUCCCAGUGGCAGCAGCACAAGCCAGGAUCUUCCUGUUUCCAAAUGGUGCCGUUCGCCAUGAAUCCUACGCCGGCGUUUCCCUGCAGCUAAAUCUCUCGCUGGAGCCGGACAGCCAUCAAUAGCACUCGGUUAAUUAAUUUGAUGGGAACAGCAGGGAGCGCCGUUUGCACUUAGUGAAGUUCCCAGAAACUUCCAAGCUCAUCUCUGUAAUUGGCCUCAUAAAUUUGAGGAAAGAGAGAGCUCAGCAAAGCACACGGGAAGGAGAAGGAGGGGAGCAGCAUGCAGUGGCGGCCUUAGUUAAUUUUAUUGGAGAAAUUCAUCUUCCCUUCCCCUGCCGCUCGCUCUCCCUCCUGAUUUGCCUAAUCAUGAUAAACUCCCAUUCAUAUGUGCACCUACUGCACAGCCAUUCGCCGCCCUAAAAUAUUGACUCAUGAAUAUUAAGCACCCUCAUUAACAUGCAAAACCAGCGGGUGCCAUCUCUUCUGCCUAUCCGAGCACUUGUAAUUAAAAACUGAGCCACGAUGUGUGGGACUCUGAUAUAGCCAACCCAGGACAGCUGGGAACCACAAGGCUGGGGCUGCAAUGUCCUGCGAGGAACACACCCAGGAAUGCUACACCCCACAGUCUUUGGGGACAUUCUCAAGGGCUCAGCAUCCAGUGAGUAAGGUCUAAGUCAGAGGUUUUCAACCUUUUUGAGUUCAUGACUCCCUUAGCCAACUACAUUCUUUCUGUGGCACCCUUGUGGGGCUCAGGAGCCCAGUUAUGCAGAGCUGGCAGCCUCUCACCCUUUUUCGAACCCCCUUCCUUGUGGAGUGUUCCCUCAGCCUCCUCUCCUCUCCCCUCUUCUUGGGAGUCCUCUGGGCAGCCGCAGCUGCCACCCCUGGUUUCUGAGCUGCCUCCCCCAUGCCCCAAAGAGAGGUGCCUCGUCACACUGCCCCACAGGGGCCUUGGAAGCACCCCAUGGCCAGCCGCAGAGGCACCAUUCACCUGGGGAGCUUGUAGCCAGGGCUGCUGCACAAACAGCUGUGCAAGCCUUUGGGAGGCAGAGAUGCAAGAGGGCAUCAGAGGAGGGAGGGAAGGAAAGAAGGGUAGAAGCCAGUGUUGCCUACGGCACCCCAGACCAUCAUUCAAGGCACCCCAGGGUGCCACGGCACACAGAUUGAUAACCACUGGUCUGCUCCUGAGACUGGGAAGUUAAGGGCUGCUUCACCAAUGGAAUUUAAGGUGCACCUAUGUACACUUAGGACGUGGGUGGCGCUGUGGGUUAAACCACAGAGCCUAGGACUUGCGAAUCAGAAGGUCGGCGGUUCGAAUCCCCAUGGCGGGGUGAGCUCCUGUUGCUCGGUCCCUGCUCCUGCCAACCUAGCAGUUUGAAAGCACGAAGUGCAAGUAGAUAAAUAGGUACUGCUCUGGCGGGAAGGUAAACGGCAUUUCCAUGGGCUGUUCUGGUUCGCCAGAAGCGGCUUAGUCAUGCUGGCUACAUGACCCGGAAGCUGUAUGCCGGCUCCCUCAGCCAAUAAAGCAAGAUGAGCGCCGCAACCCCAGAGUCGUUCACGACUGGACCUAAUGGUCAGGGGUCCCUUUACCUUUUAUGUACACUUAAUGUGCACACCUAUGUGCACAAACACAACUUCAGAGCAGCAAGGGAGUUGCCUUCUACCAGGCCAGAUUUUUUUGAUGGGCAGCAGAGUAACCAAAGUCUCAAGCACAGACCCUUCAUAUAAUUUAUCUGCUAUCAUUUACUUUAUUUGUUUAGCUGUGGCCCUUGUAGCUGGAAAUGUCAGGGACUCAACCUGCCUGGGACCUUUUGCAUGUAAACAGUGCACUCUGCUAUUGAGCUAUGGGGAGCAUCCAAAGUAGUGCUAUGUGAACAUCUCAUCAGUGCCAGGAUUUCUGCUAGAGGAAGGAAACAUACUCCAUGUGUGCCCCCUAAAUCUGUUCUAGGGGCUCCACUAACCCUCUGGAGCAGAUUUAGGGAGGCUGUGAGGCACCUGUAGGGUGAGGAGAUUGCAGAAGCAGAAAUCUUGGUACUGAUGGGAGACAUGGCAGUUGAAUACUGUACAAGCUCGCUAGCCACCUGCUGUUGCUAGUUAUAUGGCACUGGAGGGGGUUCCAUUACUGCUUACUCCACAUCCAAUGCACUUGCAUUGCUCAUUUUUUAAGCUGCAUUCACACAAUCCAUAUUGAUCCCGUAGUUUCUUGGCAAAUAGUCCUGUGUGAUGUGUUUUUCUUCUCAAACCACCUUCAAUCCAAUUAGAAAACAAUGUGGAGUAAGUGGUAAUUUGAACAUACCCAGUAGCCAUUGCACUGGCACAGGUGAGCAUACACAGGUGACAGUUUAGUGAACAGGAGUGCCGGGGGGGCUACAUGGGUGGGGAUCCCAAAAAGGUCUGUGCAUCUGGUGAAGACCUCCCUGCCCCCUUUUUCGUGUGCACAGUGCACAACUUUGUGCAAAAGUGGCUUGAAAUGCAGUGGGGUAGGGGAAUGACCUCACUGUGUUUCAAGCCAUUAAUGUGAACAUACUCUUCAUUCAGGUUGCCAGACAUUUAUUAUUAUUUGUUUACUGGAUUUAUUUGUUUCCUUUUUUGCCAUGGCGACUCACAGCGACUUACAAAAGAACUUAUGAAAAACGAAAUAAGGCAGACAGACAUUAAAACGAAAUAUUUAAAAUAAAGGAAAGGGUGGACAAAAGAUUAAAAAAAGAAAAACCUUUAUCCAAGAGGUAUAAACUCCUCCUUGAUUGGAAAGUCAAGGAGGAGGUGGUAAAAUCAGUUAUGGGCCCAGAACUUAAGUUAUAAUAUCCAAAUGGAUUCGUGGGAAAGACUCUGGAAGGUAGACAUAAAAUUCACCGCAUGUUAUAAUCUGAAAGAAAAUCUGAUGAAAAUGUUUUAGCGUUGGUACCUGACUCUAGCCAAAUUAGCCAAAAUGUAUAUUAAAAAAAUUGAACGUUUGCUGGAGCUGUAAGAAGUCAGAAGGUACAAUGAUACAUACAUGGUGGAACUGUGUGAAAGUUAGAGAACUAUGGGACAUUAUAUAUAAUGAACUUUUUAAAAAAUCUUUAAAUGUUCAUUCCAAAAAAACCCAGAAGCCUUCCUGUUGGGAAUCAUAUAUAAUGAAAUACCAAAAAUUUUUAGAAGAACUUUCAUGUCUGCAACAACGGCGGCUAGAAUUUUGAUAGCAAAAAGUUGGAAAGGAGAAGUGAUACGCACCAAAUUAGACUGGCAGGUGAAGAUGAUAGAAUAUAUAGAAGUAGCCAAAAUGACUGGAAGUUUAAGAGAUGAUUCAAAACAGAAAGAAUAUUAUGAAAAUGAUAUACAGGUGGUACAUGACACCAGUCAAGCUUGCAAAAAUCUAUCAUUUGCCCGAUAAUAAAUGUUGGAAAUGUAAAGAAAAUGAAGGUACAUUCUUUCAACUUUGGUGGACGUGCCCAAAGAUUAAGGCUUUCUGGGAGAUGAUCUAUAAUGAAAUGAAAAAGGUAUUUAAAUAUACCUUUCUAAAGAAACCAGAGGCCUUCCUGCUGGGCAUAGUUGGUCAAUUGGUGCCAAAGAAGGAUAGAACUUUCUUUAUGUAUGCCACAACAGCAGCAAGAAUACUUAUUGCAAAGUAUUGGAAGACACAAGAUCUACCCACCUUGGAAGAAUGGCAGAUGAAGGUGAUGGACUAUAUGGAACUGGCAGAAAUGACUGGCAGAAUCCGAGACCAGGGAGAAGAGUCGGUGGAAGAAGACUGGAAAAAGUUUAAAGAUUUACAGAAAUAUUGUAAAAUUAAUGAAUGUUAGAAUGAUGUUGGAUAGAAACUAAGUGGUUUUUAGCUGUAAUGUUAUAAGGGAAUAUGAAAAAAUGGACUAUUAAUAGGUAAAAAUAUAAUGUUACAAUACUUUAAGAUUGAAGACUAGGAUAAACAAAGAGGGGAGGGAUUUGCUGAACUAACAAACUGAAUUGGAAUACAGAAAAGGGAGGCGUGAGGAGGUCCGGGAAAUAAGCAAAUGAAAGAUAAGUGAUUGAAAGACUGAAUUGUUUUUAACUAUUUUUAUUUUGUAUUUUUCUUUUUUCUUUUUUUCUUUUGUAAUAUUUUGAAAAUCUUAAUAAAUAUCUUUAAAAAAAAAACAAAUAAGAGAAGCUCUAACAGGAAGUAAAAUAACUUGGUUUAACUGUAUAUACAACUGGUGCAACGGACAAAGCAGUGGUUAAGGGAAAACAAGAAAUGCAAAGAAUAUACAAUAUAUAUAUAUUUUUUUAUAAAAAUGGGAGAUAAAAAAGAAAAUAUAGUUAUAAAAGGGGAAACUUAUAAAGAUUUAUAAAGAGUUAAGAUAAUGAAACGAAGGGGCACAAUCCAGGCACAGUAAAAUACUAAUGGCUGCCCUGCUAGGCCUACUUACUUGGAUGUAAACCUCAAUGAACACAGUGGGACUUACUUUUGUGUAAAUGUGCAUGGGAUUUCUACCUAAAUCAAUGUUUAAUACUGUAAUUCUAUGC